UACCCUAAAACUUAAAGUAUAAUAAAAAAAAAAAGUUACUCUCACUGAAGUUCUCUCUUGCCCAUUUCAAUCCCUACUCCCAUCUCCAGCCCUAAGCAAUACUGCUCUGAUAUUCUGUCUGUAUAAAUUUCCCAUCUGUGUAAUAGAAAUGGAAUCAUACAAUAUAUUAUAUUGAGGUCUGACUUUAAUCAUUUAGUUACUAUUUUUGAAGUUAAUUGAUGCUUUAGCUUGUGCCGGUCAUGUGUUUUCCUUUUCAUUGCUUCAUAGUCCAUUGUGUGGAUAUAUAAACAGUGUUUAUUCAUUCAUCAGUUGAUGGACAUUUAAUUAUUUCUGUUUUUUGUAUUAUGAAUAAUGCUGCUUUGAGCAUUCAUAAUACAGUCAUGUAAUGUAUAAUAACAUUUUGGUCAAUGAUGGAUAGCAUGUAUGAUGGCAGUCCCAUAAGAUUAUGAUAGAGUUUAAAAAUUCCUAUCACCUAGUGUCUUGUAGCUGUCACAAGUGUGUAGCGUAACACAUUAGACAGGCAUCAGUGAUGAUGCCGAUGGAAAGGAAUCUACUGGUUUUCCAGUUAUGUUAAAGUACUGUAUAGAACAUACAACUAUGUGCAGUAUAUAAUACUUGGUAGUGAAAAUAAAUGACUAUGUUCCUGGUUUAUGUAUUUACUGUGCUAUACUUUCUAUAAUUAUUUGAGAAUAUAUUCUAUCUGCGUAUUAAAACAAACCACUUACCUGUAAAACAGCCUCAAGUAGGCCUUUGAGGAUGUAUGCUAGAAGGUGUUGUUAUCGUAAGAGAUGACAGCACCAUGUGUGUUUCUGCCCCUUCCAGUGGGACAAGAUGUGGAUUCAGAAGGCAGUGACAUUGAUGAUCCUAAUCCUGUGUAGGUCUAGGCUGAUGUGUGUGUCUGAGCCUCAGCUGUUAACAAAAAAAGUUUAAAAUUUAAAACUUAAAUUUUAAAAUAGAAAAAAUAUAGAAUAAUAUUUUAAAAAUUUGCACAGCUGUACAAUAUGUUUAUGUUUUAAGGUAAGUGGUAUUACAAAAUAGUUGUUUUUAAAAUUGUUUAAGUUUAUAAAUUUUAAAUGUUACAGUAGGCUAAGGUUAAUUGUUGAGUAAAUAAAAAUAGAUUUCUAUAAAUUUAGGGUAGUCUAAAGAUACAAUGUUCAUAAAGUCUAUAGUAGUGUACAGUAAGGUCCUAGGCCUUCACAUUCACUCACCAUUCACUCACCGAAUCAUCCAGAGCAACGUCCAGUCCUUUAAGCUCUGUUCAUGGUAAAGUGCCCUAUACAGAUGUACUAAUUUUUAUAUUUUAUACCAUAUUUUAUUGUAGCUUUUCUAUAUUUAGAUUUUAGAUAUAUAAAUGCUUACCGUUUUGUUACCUUUGCCUGCAGUAUUCAGUACAGUUACAUGUUGUACAGUUUGAAGCCCAGAGCAAUUGGCUGUAUCAUACAGCCUAGGUGUAUAGGGGGCUAUGCCAUCCAGGUUUAUGUAAGUGCACUCUAUGAUGUCUGCGUAAUUACUACAUCACUUAACGAUGCAUUUCUCAGAACACAUCACUGUCGUUAAGAGACACAUGUCUGUACAAAUGACUUUGGAGAAUAUGCUUUCAGUUCACUUGGAGCAUUCCUGGGUGUGGAUUUGCUGGACCAAAUGUGCAGACUUCAGUCUUAGACUUCCCAGCUGCCUUGAGGGAUUGGAUGAGCCUUGGCCAGCUCUUGAAGGAAACAAUAAAAUCACUUUAAUGUGCUACUUUUCAUUUUGAAGUCAUUACAGUAUCAUUUGCAAAACUCAACAAGGAAAGAUGCCUGUGGAUGGCCGUGUUCUGGGAGUCACUGUGAUGAGGUGCUGCCUGCUUUCGCCCAACCUGAUCUGGGGCUCAGACAGCUAACAGGCCCGAGUGGCUAGGAGCCAGGUUCUCACACGUCCCUGAGGAACUAGAGAGGAACGCCUCUGGGAAGCCCAGCCAGAGCCAACCGGAAGGGCCUUUUGGUGAAGUCUGACAUCCUACAUUAGUUUCUCUGGACCUGGCCUCGCAGGAGUUUCCAGCUCAUGAGGGCAGAGGAGAUGAAGAGAGGCCGAUCGACGUGAGGGUUGUGCAGGCGGCCCCUCUGAGGUGUGACUCCAGUAAGUACUCUGGAAUUACUUGCUGAGAAAGAAAAGUCUGGAUGCCAAGAAAGGUGUGACAUCCUUGCUGGCUUCAAUGUGAAGAGCCACCCUGAUUCUGGGAUUCUGAUAGGAAUAAGGUAGAUGAUGCAUAUCUGAACCUGGAAACCGCUUCCCACUGUAGAGCGUGUCUGAGUCAUGUCCCUUAGCUUCAGCAGAGCAGAUCCAGCAGGCUCUGAGCUUGGCCUCUUUGCCUGGAGCGAGACCUCUAGGUAAUGUCUCCAGAGAGGGUGGCACAAAGGAUCCUGGAUCUCCUGAUCACAGCAGCCCAAGAGUGCCGUGCGUGCACCAUGGCUCAAGAAGAAGACUUAAAAAGGGGAAA
rnacentral:lncRNA from 1 species